UGUGAAAAAAUGUCAUAGUAUAGUAAGGUGUCAAAAGUGAAAAAAUGUCAUAGUAUAGUAAGGCGUUAAAAAAUGUGAAAAAAUGUCAUAGUAUAGUAAGGCGUCAAAAAAUGUGAAAAAAUGUCAUAGUAUAGUAAGGUGUGAAAAAAUGUCAUAGUAUAGUAAGGUGUCAAAAAAUGUGAAAAAAUGUCAUAGUAUAGUAAGGCGUCAAAAAAUGUGAAAAAAUGUCAUAGUAUAGUAAGUUGUCAAAAAAUGUCAUAGUAUGGUAAGGUGUCAAAAAAUGUGAAAAAAUGUCUUAGUAUAGUAAGGUGUCAAAAAAUGUGAAAAAAUGUCAUAGUAUAGUAAGGCGUUAAAAAAUGUGAAAAAAUGUCAUAGUAUAGUAAGGUGUCAAAAAAUGUGAAAAAACGUCAUAGUAUAGUAAGGUGUCAAAAAAUGUGAAAAAAUGUCAUAGUAUAGUAAGGCGUUAAAAAAUGUGAAAAAAUGUCAUAGUAUAGUAAGGUGUCAAAAAAUGUGAAAAAACGUCAUAGUAUAGUAAGGUGUCAAAAAAUGUGAAAAAAUGUCAUAGUAUAGUAAGGCGUCAAAAAAUGUGAAAAAAUGUCAUAGUAUAGUAAGUUGUCAAAAAAUGUCAUAGUAUGGUAAGGUGUCAAAAAAUGUGAAAAAAUGUCAUAGUAUAGUAAGGCGUUAAAAAAUGUGAAAAAAUGUCAUAGUAUAGUAAGGUGUCAAAAAAUGUGAAAAAAUGUCAUAGUAUAGUAAGGCGUCAAAAAAUGUCAUAGUAUGGUAAGGUGUCAAAAAAUUUGAAAAAAUGUCAUAGUAUAGUAAGGUGUCAAAAAAUGUCAUAGUAUGGUAAGGUGUCAAAAAAUGUGAAAAAACGUCAUAGUAUAGUAAGGUGUGAAAAAAUGUCAUAGUAUAGUAAGGUGUGAAAAAAUGUCAUAGUAUAGUAAGGUGUCAAAAAAUGUGAAAAAAUGUCAUAGUAUAGUAAGGCGUUAAAAAAUGUGAAAAAAUGUCAUAGUAUAGUAAGGCGUUAAAAAAUGUGAAAAAAUGUCAUAGUAUA